CUGUUUCAGAUAAACAAAACCAUAAUAUCUUUACAGACAUUGUUCAUUAAAACCGUCAUAUCUCAUGCAGGAGUAGCAUGUUUUUGACAGUUUUCUGACGAGUGCAUCUAUGAAUUACGGUCGGUCACCCCCUAGCGUCUCUCUUCCCCGCGAAUUUACGGUGACAAGGGUCGGAGCGACCCUUGCUCAGCUUCCCACCUAUUGAACAAGUUCAUUCAUAGAACAAGGAUGACACCCAGCGGUCACUCAACACCGAUUUCCUUCACGGACACCUUUAUAAAUUUGACGCGUUCAAACGAUCACUUGAACCAGAAAACUUUCUCGGACGGCUCUCCAAGACAAUGGAUAAAAGUGAGUAUUUUAUCAUGUCAUGUUAUCUGAUGGUAGUGAUAUUUAAAUACUAUUAAUUGAUCAAAGUAUGUUAUGCUAUUUUUACAGUCUACGAUGUUAUAGCGUUUUUUUAAACCAUAUUACAUUUCAUUCCUGUAAUUUUCUUCAAGUUAUGCUGUUUUAUUUCAACUGCUGAUAGAGAUAUUUUAACACUAUAUUCAUAAAGUAUGUGUUAUUUGAAUUAAUAUCGACGCAUCUAUCGUCCCAAUCACCGCCAGACUGUUUGUAUGAAAAACACACUUUUAUUUUGAAAAGACGGCGACAUCCUGUUGAAAAUACUUUCAUUUUGAAAAUAUGACGACAUCCUGUUGAAAAUACUUUUAUUUUGAAAAGACGAGGAUAUCCUGUUGAAAAUACUUUUAUUUUGAAAAGACGAGGAUAUCCUGUCGCUUAGCUUUUGUGCUUCAGUUCAGUUCGCUAUGUAUAGGAUUUCAGAAAACCAAUUCUGUGUCCAUUAAAUCGACGUUUUACCACCGCGUUAUCCGUUCGUCAUCUAUGAACACGAUUUUCCCGGUUGCUAACUGCUCUCGGUGAAACGGAUAUGAUGGUGAAAUGGCUCCCUCCGGUUCAAAUAUUGAGCAGCAAGCCUUUGACGGUAUUAAUACAUCGCUCGUGAUUGAUCCAGACAGCGCAGCCGCUGGUAAAACAAGAUCCAUCUCCAACAUUUUUUAUGAGAAAUCAAAAUUUUAGAGAGACUCUAUUUUAAAUGACCCACUCAGAGGAGGGGGUAGUUACAGACCAGAAGAUCUGAGGUGUUAUUCUGUUAACCUUUUUUCAAACCGCAUGUUAUGGCUGUAUUAAUAAUGAAUUCAAAGUCUAAUCUUAAGACUUUAAAU
ensembl:lncRNA